rnacentral:rRNA from 1 species
AGAGUUUGAUCAUGGCUCAGGACGAACGCUGGCGGCAGGCUUAACACAUGCAAGUCGAGCGCCCCGCAAGGGGAGCGGCAGACGGGUGAGUAACGCGUGGGAACGUGCCUUUCGGUUCGGAACAACUGAGGGAAACUUCAGCUAAAACCGGAUACGCCCUUCGGGGGAAAGUUUACGCCGAAAGAUCGGCCCGCGUCAGAUUAGGUAGUUGGUGGGGUAAUGGCCUACCAAGCCUACGAUCUGUAGCUGUUCUGAGAGGAAGAUCAGCCACAUUGGGACUGAGACACGGCCCAAACUCCUACGGGAGGCAGCAGUGGGGAAUAUUGGACAAUGGGCGCAAGCCUGAUCCAGCCAUGCCGCGUGGAUGAAGAAGGCCCUAGGGUUGUAAAGUCCUUUCGGUGGUGAAGAUAAUGACGGUAACCACAGAAGAGCCACCCCGCC